UAAUAGCUCACUGGUCGAGUCGGCCCUGCGCGGAAGAUGUAACGGGGCUAAACCAUGCACCGAAGCUGCGGCAGCGACGCUUAUGCGUUGUUGGGUAGGGGAGCGUUCUGUAAGCCUGUGAAGGUGUGCUGUGAGGCAUGCUGGAGGUAUCAGAAGUGCGAAUGCUGACAUAAGUAACGAUAAAGCGGGUGAAAAGCCCGCUCGCCGGAAGACCAAGGGUUCCUGUCCAACGUUAAUCGGGGCAGGGUGAGUCGACCCCUAAGGCGAGGCCGAAAGGCGUAGUCGAUGGGAAACAGGUUAAUAUUCCUGUACUUGGUGUUACUGCGAAGGGGGGACGGAGAAGGCUAUGUUGGCCGGGCGACGGUUGUCCCGGUUUAAGCGUGUAGGCUGGUUUUCCAGGCAAAUCCGGAAAAUCAAGGCUGAGGCGUGAUGACGAGGCACUACGGUGCUGAAGCAACAAAUGCCCUGCUUCCAGGAAAAGCCUCUAAGCAUCAGGUAACAUCAAAUCGUACCCCAAACCGACACAGGUGGUCAGGUAGAGAAUACCAAGGCGCUUGAGAGAAUCUCGGGUGAAGGAACUAGGCAAAAUGGUGCCGUAACUUCGGGAGAAGGCACGCUGAUAUGUAGGUGAAGUCCCUCGCGGAUGGAGCUGAAAUCAGUCGAAGAUACCAGCUGGCUGCAACUGUUUAUUAAAAACACAGCACUGUGCAAACACGAAAGUGGACGUAUACGGUGUGACGCCUGCCCGGUGCCGGAAGGUUAAUUGAUGGGGUCAGCGCAAGCGAAGCUCUUGAUCGAAGCCCCGGUAAACGGCGGCCGUAACUAUAACGGUCCUAAGGUAGCGAAAUUCCUUGUCGGGUAAGUUCCGACCUGCACGAAUGGCGUAAUGAUGGCCAGGCUGUCUCCACCCGAGACUCAGUGAAAUUGAACUCGCUGUGAAGAUGCAGUGUACCCGCGGCAAGACGGAAAGACCCCGUGAACCUUUACUAUAGCUUGACACUGAACAUUGAGCCUUGAUGUGUAGGAUAGGUGGGAGGCUUAGAAGUGUGGACGCCAGUCUGCAUGGAGCCGACCUUGAAAUACCACCCUUUAAUGUUUGAUGUUCUAACGUUGACCCGUAAUCCGGGUUGCGGACAGUGUCUGGUGGGUAGUUUGACUGGGGCGGUCUCCUCCUAAAGAGUAACGGAGGAGCACGAAGGUUGGCUAAUCCUGGUCGGACAUCAGGAGGUUAGUGCAAUGGCAUAAGCCAGCUUGACUGCGAGCGUGACGGCGCGAGCAGGUGCGAAAGCAGGUCAUAGUGAUCCGGUGGUUCUGAAUGGAAGGGCCAUCGCUCAACGGAUAAAAGGUACUCCGGGGAUAACAGGCUGAUACCGCCCAAGAGUUCAUAUCGACGGCGGUGUUUGGCACCUCGAUGUCGGCUCAUCACAUCCUGGGGCUGAAGUAGGUCCCAAGGGUAUGGCUGUUCGCCAUUUAAAGUGGUACGCGAGCUGGGUUUAGAACGUCGUGAGACAGUUCGGUCCCUAUCUGCCGUGGGCGCUGGAGAACUGAGGGGGGCUGCUCCUAGUACGAGAGGACUUGAGUGGACGCAUCACUGGUGUUCGGGUUGUCAUGCCAAUGGCACUGCCCGGUAGCUAAAUGCGGAAGAGAUAAGUGCUGAAAGCAUCUAAGCACGAAACUUGCCCCGAGAUGAGUUCUCCCUGACUCCUUGAGAGUCCUGAAGGAACGUUGAAGACGACGACGUUGAUAGGCCGGGUGUGUAAGCGCAGCGAUGCGUUGAGCUAACCGGUACUAAUGAACCGUGAGGCUUAACCUU
rnacentral:rRNA from 1 species